UUGGUUAUUAUCUUGAAUACUAUUAUAGAUAGAGAUAAACUGUAAACAGCAAUAAUGUUCAGCAAAGUAAGAUCUACAAAUAAGUCAAACAUGACCAAAAUUGUCAGAGAACUCCUUAAGGAGUUAUUGUCCUUUAUAGUCAAUAUUGAACAACUUUUCGUCAUUUUUGUAAUCUUCUUUUCUAAAACUAUGGGCCAAAUUUAACCAAACUUGGCCACAAUCAUUACUAGGGUAUCUAUUUUUAAAAAGUGUCUAACGACCCUGCCUGCCAACCAAGAUGGCCGAC
rnacentral:lncRNA from 1 species